CAGUAGCCACGGUAAUACAGAGGGUGCGAGCGUUAAUCGGAUUUACUGGGCGUAAAGCGUGCGUAGGCGGCUUCUUAAGUCGGAUGUGAAAUCCCUGAGCUUAGCUUAGGAAUUGCAUUCGAUACUGGGAAGCUAGAGUAUGGGAGAGGAUGGUAGAAUUCCAGGUGUAGCGGUGAAAUGCGUAGAGAUCUGGAGGAAUACCGAUGGCGAAGGCAGCCAUCUGGCCUAAUACUGACGCUGAGGUACGAAAGCAUGGGGAGCAAACAGGAUUAGAUACCCGCGUAGUCCCUGUCUCUUAUAC
rnacentral:rRNA from 1 species